rnacentral:rRNA from 1 species
CCUACGGGAGGCAGCAGUGAGGAAUAUUGGUCAAUGGACGAGAGUCUGAACCAGCCAAGUAGCGUGAAGGAUGACUGCCCUAUGGGUGGAAAACUUCUUUUAUAAAGGAAUAAAACGAGGCACGUGUGCCUUUUUGCAUGUACUUUAUGCAUACGGAUCGGCUAACUCCGUGCCAGCAGCCGCGUUAAUACGGAGGAUUCGAGCGUUAUCCGGAUUUAUUGGGUUUAAAGGGAUCGUAGAUGGGUUUUUAAGUCAGUUGUGAAAGUUUGCGGCUCAACCGUAAAAGUGCAAUUGAUACUGGCAGUCUUGAGUGGGCGAGAAGUAUGCGGAAUGCGUGGUGUAGCGGUGAAAUGCAUAGAUAUCACGCAGAACUCCGAUUGCGAAGGCAGCAUACCGGCGCCCUACUGACGCUGAGGCACGAAAGUGUGGGUAUCGAACAGGAUUAGAUACCCGUGUAGUC